GGGUGUGGCUUGUAUUACAAUCACGUGCACGUGCUAAUAAACAAGACUGAGAAAAGUAGAUUAUGGCUGGAGGAGGUGAUGCUAAUGUUAACCUAACCGGUUGGAGGGCGUACAUUAACGUCUACACUAUCCCAGGAAGGAGAAACUUAGUUAUAACGGUCUUUGGGUCUAUUUUUGCUACCGUUUGGCUCGUUAAGAAACUAAGAAAGAGAUCAAAGCCGAUAGAAGCCAAGUAACCAGUUAUAAACUAAUAGUUAAUUGACUACUAGCAUAUCAGAGUAUUGUUUGAUCCAUUAUGUAGAUUAAUUAUUAUGAUUAUAAUAAAAACAAAAUAAAUAAUUGAUUUUAAAGUCUGGAAGUCUGGGAAUGUUUUUCCCAGUAUUGUGGCUAUGUGGUAUGGGUACUACUGGUAUGUACAUUAAUCACAUUAUGAAUACUGUAAAGUUCAGAUUACCAUAUUUAGCAAUAAUGAUCUCUCUCUCUCUCCAAUUGUUAUUAUAAUAUACACUCAGUGUGUAAAGCAUGUGGAUAUAUGUCACUAUCUUAUAGUAUUUGUAAACAUACUAAUUUGGAUAUACUUGACUACAUUACACUGAAUUAUAUAACACUGUAUGUUAAGCACACUAAAUUUGGCACACACUAAGUGAUGCUUGAAUGCAUGUACAUUAUCAUGUGUCACGUACUAUAGAACAUUUUAUUGAGACACUACUGACUGUAUGUACAUGUACAUGUACAUUACCAUAUAUGUCACUUUCUUAUUACAUACUAUAUUGUGCCUCUAUAAUACGACCUUAUAUGGUUAUAUGUGGAGAGAUGAGUAUGAACACUAUGUGAAUGAGGUUCUCUGAUUAUUAUUAUAGGGUAUUUUCAUCAAAUUCUGAAGGAAUUACUGCUAGUGAUCAAUACAUGUUCAGUAUUGUGGAUUCCUGAUACAUCUACAUGUACAUGUACAUGCAGACAGAAUGUAUAGAUUCCUAAUUACUGUGUUUACACUCAUAAUUGUUUAUUGGUAGAUAAAUAAUUAUUGGUGUUAUUGUUUUUCACUAAUCUGCCCACUCCUACCCCAUUCUACUCGCUAAUGCCAUUAUUCUGCUUCUUGCAAUACCUCACAUAGUCUCACCUAUUUAGUCUCAGUGUCUGGAACAGUGAAUGUCAACAGCAUAUAGACAGACUAAACACAAGAUGGAGGCACUUAUCCCUUUCCUAUCCUUCACAGUAAUUCCUGUUAUCGAGUUAUUCACUGUAUGCUAAUUGCAUUUGAGGGUGUGAAGGAUUUGUUUACAAAUACCAACCCUAAAACAAUAAUUUGUUUAUUGUUUUACUGGCAGCUACUCAUUACUGCAUGCUUGAUAUUGUUUGUAUUAUAAUAUAAUCAAAAAUAUAAUCAAUAAUUGAAGAAAAAUAGAAUAUAAAUUUAAUAAUAUAAUUAUAAUGCUAUGGGUAUCAACAAGAGUGGGUAUCAAUUCACAAAUUUUACAGUAA